GGAAGGGUGGGAGGGGCAGCGGGGGUAAGAGGAAGUGGGUGAGGGGUGAUGGGAAGCAGUGGGCGUAAAGCGCAAGUAGGCGGGUUGCUAAGUCAGGGGGGAAGUCCUGGAGCUCAACUCAAGAACGGCACUGGAUACGGGCGAACUGGAGUCCGGGAGAGGUGAGUGGAACGGCGAGUGUAGAGGUGAAAGUCGUAGAUAUUCGCAAGAACAGCAGUGGCGAAGGCGGCGCACUGGCCCGGUACUGACGCUGAGGUGCGAAAGCGUGGGGAGCAAACAGGAUUAGAUACCCGUGUAGUC
rnacentral:rRNA from 1 species